AUUGACCAAAUGAAAGUACAGGUACUAAAUUCAUAAUUUAUACAAAGUAUAGGGUGUAAUAGCAAAAUUUGAGAUUUUUUUCCUGGUUACAAGCAGGAGUCCCAUGGCAAAGUUGAAAAGUAAAAUGGUUCAUAGUAUACCACUUAAUGGCAGCUGCUCCCACCGCCAUUGCCACGCAAAAUUCCCGGGCCUCGCAUACCCACGUGUAAAGUAGUCUUCAACUUUUGACCCAGGAAUUUCAUUUGAAAGUUGGGAAAGUAAUAGGUUGGAUGGUUCAGUAAAAAAAAAAUGUAAUUAAUCAUUUGAGAUGAUUAAGAGAAUUAUUGGUGGGUUUAGUUUUUAAAAAAACUGAUUUAAUCGAUUGAUUACAAUCCAUUAAAAAUAAGGGAGGAAAUAAAGAAAACUAAACGUGACUCAAAGCACAGACAUCGAGAAACAAGCAAUUAAAGAAGUCUGCAACCCAAAUUAAAGCCAAACCAAAAAAAAAAAAAAAUAAUAAACAAACAGAACCUAAAGCAGUAACCUCAAUCGACAGAAAAUAGAUCUUCCCUAAAAGCUCCAAACCAUGGACCCCGCUAAAAACUCUUUUGAGAACCUGGAAACGAGAUAACUGCAUGAAACAUCAAGAAAACCCAAUAGAGAGCGAGGCUUCAAUAUUAUCAUUGGAGUGAAAGAUAAAAAUUUCCAGAAAUCCAAAGCUACAAGCCCAGAUUAGGGCAUUGUAGAGUAGUGCGACUACUCUACCGCCGCCGUUCACUCAACCAAUUCCGAUGCCUCUUCAACCCAGAAUAUUUCUUCAGAGAAACAGCGCCCCUCCCUGGCCAAGACAUGGGCCGCUGCAUUUGCCUCUCUUUUUACAUGGAGAAAGGAUCUCCGCCAGUUUGGCGUUUCUUAUUUGGUGAUUUCAACUUCACUGAAGAGCUUUCAAUUGAUGUCCGACCUAAUUGUAUUGUAUUUGAUCUCAAUCCAAACUAAAAAUUGUAAAAUUAUAGCGAGGUAAGUAGUUAUAAAUUAGCAGAAAUUGAAAUAUUGCUAAACUAAAACUUACAUAGAAUGUCUGCUCUUCAGUUUUCAUAUUUGUGUAGAGGCCUAGCCCAGUGGCAGACUACCUUCGAAUUUUCA